AGCAAGCUAAUGAAUUGAGAUGAAUAUCUACAAUGAUCUCCCCAUAAGCUGUCAUCUGAUCCUAACCUCGAUGAAGCUGCUCAAGGUCUGCUUUUGGCUGUAUGCACAGAAAGAUCAUAGAAUAUCAAGAUGUUUGUUUUAAGUAAAAGGAGGAAGAUUUUGAGAUGUUGGCGGCCAAGGUAAUGAAGAAGGAAACAUACAAGAACAGAGGGAAGAAAUAUCAUAACUGGUUCAGUGGGCUAGGAUGUCUCAUUUGGAACAACUGCAAACACAUCGAAUUUUCCAUGAUUAGACUAAGUAAUUCAUGCGAAGGUGGCAGCAGAGUUGGAGCUGCAAUUGUUUUUGGGGAUGCACAUGCUAAAUUAUCAGGUGCACUUGAGACACUGGCAACAGAUACAACUGAUGAUUUCAGUGUGCAUCAGGAUGAGCCUUAUUAGAGUACACCAAUGGGUGGAUUCGCUUACUUAUAUGAGGCUAAGAUUUUGCUUAGGUGGGCGAUUUAAGUUGCAUGUUGUGUACAAACCGG